ensembl:lncRNA
UUAUAAAGAGAUGUUUAGGCAGGACUGUUGCAACAACAACAAUACAAUUUUAUAAAAAACAGCAAGACAUUCUCAUUAUACUUAAUCUGAGCUUUCAGAUUGAACCGUAUGAGAGGGAAGAGGACAGACCCAAGAGCAUUCUCAGUGU